rnacentral:rRNA from 1 species
GAUGAACGCUGGCGGCGUGCCUAAUACAUGCAAGUCGAGCGAACAGACGAGGAGCUUGCUCCUCUGAUGUUAGCGGCGGACGGGUGAGUAACACGUGGAUAACCUACCUAUAAGACUGGGAUAACUUCGGGAAACCGGAGCUAAUACCGGAUAACAUGUUGAACCGCAUGGUUCAACAGUGAAAGACGGUCUUGAUGUUACUUAUAGAUGGAUCCGCGCCGCAUUAGCUAGUUGGUAAGGUAACGGCUUACCAAGGCAACGAUGCGUAGCCGACCUGAGAGGGUGAUCGGCCACACUGGAACUGAGACACGGUCCAGACUCCUACGGGAGGCAGCAGUAGGGAAUCUUCCGCAAUGGGCGAAAGCCUGACGGAGCAACGCCGCGUGAGUGAAGAAGGUCUUCGGAUCGUAAAACUCUGUUAUUAGGGAAGAACAAAUGUGUAAGUAACUAUGCACGUCUUGACGGUACCUAAUCAGAAAGCCACGGCUAACUACGUG